rnacentral:lncRNA from 1 species
GUUUGAGUCCUAAUUUUGGAUCCAGACCCAACCCAAUAAAAGAUCAGGUCGGAUCGGAUCUACUGUUAUAUGUUUUAACCCAACGGAUCAUUCGGGUCGGAGAGGGUCCAUGUAUAACCCAUACCAAAUCCAAAAAAUUUGGGUCCGGUUUGGGUCAAACCAUCUAUGACUUUAGAACUUGUUUGCAUCAUUGUGGGCUGCAUCUCACAAGCCUAAAUAAUUUUAUAAAUUUGGGUCGGGUUGGGAUGGGUUGUAGGAUUGAAAACUCAAAAUUAUCCAAAUUUCAAAUGAGUCGGGUUGGAUCGGGUCGGGUCUGAUUUCAGUAAACUCAGAUCCGACCCAGAAAAUGGAACGAAUCCAAUUUUAGGACCCAACUUGGCCCACGGGUCCUCCAAAAUGGGUCGGGUUGGGUCUAAGCGGGUCGGGUUGGGUCGGGUCGGGUCGGGUCGGGUCACGAGUCAAUGCGACCCAUUUGUAGCCUUAAUAAAAAUAUACUCAAAUAUAUAUGUAUAUGUUUGCAUGCAAAAUGAUGUAUUUAGACGGCUCUCAAUAAUUUUUUUUAUCAAUACAAAUAGGUUGUAGUCUAAAAAGAAAAAAAUCUGUAUCAGAUAUUGAACAUAUGUAUAUCGGAUGUUUAUUAUCUGUCUCAUACUUAUAUCUAGAAAAAAAAAUCAUCAGAUGGGCCUAAAUGGGUAGCAUUCUGUUUUUUUUUUUCAAAAAAAAACUUUCCUCGUAAAAGCAAAAACUAAAGUCUUAGGUUUGGAAAGUGUUGAACCAGCCGGUAUAGAGGUGAAACCUGCCAACAUGCAACCAAAUACCAUCCCUUCUUAUAUAAGUCCCCUUUGACUAUUGCUAGGAGAUUUGGAUUCUGUUUUCAAAAUGAAGGCAGGACAAGCACAUGACCACCCACCCAUGUAGAUCGUGGUCCUUAAUCUUCCAAUUGCACGAGAACAAAAAUGAGUCUCAUUGGGUAUAUGGUUUGAAAUUUUGACCUAAACCCAACUCAAAUGUCAUAUCAAACAAGGCCUAAAUAAGCUUUAGGUCCAGUAUAAGGAUAUAAUCACUCUAGAAAGAACGCUAGAUCAAAUCUCCUUUCACUGGCAUGCUGAUGUUAAUUAGGCCUGUGUCAAAAUUUAAUCCAUACACUCCAAAGCCAACUUUCCAGGGUUUUUUCCCUUCCUACUGGAUUUUAGCUCGUGCUCCUUCCGUCAGCUCUGCCAUCAGCUCCAGGUAUAUAUAUCUUUAUAUAUAUAUAUAUAUAUACACACACACACACAUAUACUUAUCAAGCUAUGCUCAAUUCCAACCAGAAAUUCUCCUGCCAGUUCUCACUCCUCAGAAUAUCGGAAUCUUCGACGUACUUUCUCCCCCAAACCAAGCUUCCCUAAGAAACCUUCCCAUAUUCUUUCCUGGUAAAUGUGAGCGAAAAUGUACACGUUGCUUCUCUCACUCCACCUACCAUCGUAAACCCUAAUUACGAACCAUAAGUGGAAAGUUCCAAAUAGGCUUAAAUAAAGUGUUUCCCUGAUAUCGCAGUUCUUCUAAAGCAAUCUUUUGUUCGAUCCUCUUCAAUGGGUUGUCAGUCCAGCAAGCCCGACCAAGCGAUCGUUGUAAGCUCGAUCGACGCUAUCAGAGCAGUUCGACUUGAUGAUACGUACCCGCUCGUGGAGGAGCUCCGAUCCCUUGGCGUCGCUUCCGGCCUCCACCCGGUCUCCCAGGCCGUCUCCGGCGCACCUGAGCUCAAGGAGGCAAUCUCGAAGAACCCCGGCCUCCAAUCCUUUGUAAAUGACCACCUCAACGUUGUCAUCACGACGCUGAGGUCUCUCGCCAGGGUCAGAGGCCUUCUCGACAAGUCCCGCGGAAUUUCAUCUUCUGUCGGCGCGGCUCUCGAAGGCUUCGAGAAGGAGAAUGCCGAAAGAAGGAAUGACAAGAAGGAGAAGAAGAAGAAGAAUAAGAAGAAGAAGACGAAGAUCACCAACAAGUGCUCGGAGGUGGUGGAAAAGUUGAAGGGGUCGAGGGCGUUGGGCGACCCGUUCGCGGGCCUAAACACCGAUGAGCUACGGCCGGCUUGCGAAUGGCAGCGGUCGCUGCUGGACGCGCUGCGUCGAAGGCAUCGCGAGCUCGAGAAGAGGCUGAGAUCGGUCAAGAAGUGGAGGAAGGCUUGGAAUGUCAUCUACACGGCAGGGUUCGUGGCGGUCUUAGCCUGCUCGGUGGUGCUCGCGGCUGUGGCGUCACCGGCUGCCGCCGUCACAGGAGCCACGGCAUGUGCCACUGCCAUGAAGGCUGUCGAGCCGUGGAUCAACUCGGUGUGCGACGAGCGCGAGGGCUCGUUGCAGGGGGAGAAGGAUGUUAUAGCGACGAUGCGAAGAAAGGGUGGGUUUGCAGUGCAUGACUUGGAGAACGUAAGGUCGAUUGUUGAGAAGUUAAAGAUUGACAUCGAUGCGAUGUUGGAUCGUGUUGACUUUGCAAUCAGCAAGGCGGAGGAUGGGGAGGAGAUGGCGGUCAAGAUUGGGAAUGAGGAUAUUAUGGCAAAGAAGGGGGACGUUGAUAAAGGUGUUGAUACUUUGAAGGAGAAGUUGGAUUCGUCUGAGCGUGAGAUUAUGAGGGCGGCAGCUGAGUUCUUGGAGACCAUAAUGAAGGACAUCUAGGUCUUGACCCAGAUGCCUGUUUUGUCUCUCUCUCUCUCUCUCUCUCUCUCAAGAGAACACUAAUUUUAGAUGGCCACCCUUUAAUUCGAUUAUGGAGAUGGAUAGCUAUCAAAUAGAGCACGGUAUACAAUAUGAAGAACAAGCUAUCUAGGGCAUGCAAUGUUCCAUCCAUGAUCAGAUUACGUGGUGUCUGUCUAGUGUUGUACCAUUCUGUAUCGUGCAAGUUGGCAAAGGAUCCAAAAUCCUAGGUGUUUUCAGUUUGUAAAGAUGUGUGAGGUCUUUUUAUUUCGAGCAAAUAUAAAGUUAGAGAGUUUUUUUUUGGUUUGUUUUUCUGAUGCUAAUUAGAAUGCGUGGUGCAGAACUUAGAAAGAACCCUAGCUUGCUUCCUUUCUCUUACGCGCAUCCAUGCAUGUUAUCACUUUAUUUCUAUGAGGACAAGACUUCAUAGGUUUGUACUAUUGUUGACUAAAGAUUCAGAGAAUCUUAGAAUAUCAAUGAUUGUGGAACCAAGUGUUGACUCUAUAUAAACAUAAAUUCAAGUAACAUGGAAAUCCCUUUUUUUCUUCAUUGGUAAGUACAUAAAAACUUUUAGUUACCAAGAUAACUAAAGCUAUGCGGCUAAUGUAAGAGCAGUAAAAGCUCUUAUUAACAAAUGAUUAGAUUUGAACACUAUAAAUCUUAGGAAUGGUUUUCUUUAAUUGGUACUUUCUCCAAAAUUUAUUAUCUACAUGCAUCCUUCCAACAUUAAUAAUAAAACCCUGAUAAACUAAAGGAUUGAAGGGUACUGCCUUAGGAGUCCUCGAAGAGACUAGUCAGACAUUGUAUGCGGCCAUGUGCAUGGAUGCACCUAUACGUACUCGGCAUAUUUGUUCUUAUGAUAAAUUCCCCCAAUCACCAUUCACUUUUUUCACGAAACCCAGGUUAUUUUUUCAAGGUGAUUUUUCUGAGUUCCCAUAGCAGUGAACUUAAUUAAGCUUGCAUAGUUGGUAAUUGGCGAGAAUCUAGACUUUAUUUGCAGUGUAUUAGAUAUGAUUAGAAUUCAAGUAAUAAAAGAUAAAUGGAAAAGGCUCGAAUAAGUGUCUAUUCUAAUUACUGCAGUCAUUGCAUCAUGAAUCUCCAUGUAAAUAUUCUCUUUUAAUUAUAAAUGGGUGGACUUAUCCUCUCUUUCCAUCCAAAAGAAAAGUCUACUCUUGGGCGUGCCGUGGAUUUUUUUUUUCAACAAAAAAAAUUGAAAUCAUGAAACAGCUAUUGUGAAACCUUUUCGUAGUUAUUCACCACCACAAUCAAAGGAAAACAAAAUAUCUUGUAACACAAAUACGUUCCACAAUUGAAAGGGCCACUGCUAGCUUGAAGUGUGGAAUCUUCAGAGUACGUGCAUGGAAACUCAGAGGAGAUAUGUAUGAAUGGAGAGGGUGCUAUUACAUCAAGGCUUCUAAUAAAACUAUGCUUCCAUGUACUCUCAUGGAAAUUGAGGGGAAUAGUUGACCACAAAAUUGAUAAUGAUGCCUAUCCUUAAAGUGACACCGCGUAAUGAAGAGAUCAGAUGGUUCAGUGGCAUUUCGUGGAAGGUGUAAGGUGAAAAAUGUCAAACACCUGAUCUCACGUCACUGCUGAGCAAGCAAGAAGCUUGGGGCCUUGCCUCCACCUACAAUCCAGAUUAAAGAAUGAUUUAAUUGGUAUCUAACGAGUUACAAGAGUUUGCAGCAAAGUUUGCCGAACCAUCUGAUUUAAGAUGUAUCGAAUCAAAUUGGUGCAGAAUCGGGAUGAUUCAGCCCUUCAAAGUAGGAUGCUGUCUUUUCUUCAAAAAAAAGAAAGAAGGAUAAUGGAUAAAUUAGUCUAAACCAAGCCAAAUCAACUUAUUCUGUCUGGUUUCGAGCGGUAAUAUUCUCGUUAUAGAUAACUUCCUCCUUCCAUCUUGAUCUUGACCCCUAACCCUUACUUUGGCUCUCUCCUGAUCACUCUGAUCCCCUUGCCUCACCCUCCUCUUGAGUCCCUCCUCAUCUUUUGGUGACAACAAUAAUUGAUGACUCCCUGAUCCCUCUCUCCCCCCCUCCAAUCUCCAUGUCUCAAACUCUUCCGAGUCCUUGUUUUCUCGCGACCAGGACGAAUUGAUGCACUAGAUCAAGAGCUGAAAUAGCAACUUAGAAACUAAUGUAAUAGACUAGGAGCUGAUAUAGCAGCUUAGAGGCUGACGUGGUGGUAGAUCAAGAGCUUGAUGUGGCAGAAUACGAGCUGUUAUAGCAGCUCAGAAGCUGAUGUAACAGAUUAGAAGUUGGUAUAACAACUUAAAAGCCGAUAUGGAAGACUGAUGUGUCUGAUUGACGUGACAGACUGACAUGUCUGUUGAUGUGGCUAAUUGACUUAUCUAAUGAUAUGACAACGAGAAGACAUAUAGAAGUUGAUAGUUGUAGUGAGGACAGAGCUUAGAGAGAAGACAACCGAAGAUCAACGAUCCUUGUAGACGGAGGCAUCAUGGAAGCGAAGCAUUGGUUGAUUGACUUGUAAGAUGAUGUGGCAGCGAGAAGGCAUAUAAAAUAUAACAGUUGCAGUGAGGACAAAGUUCAGAGCGAAGGCAACGGAAGGUCGAUGAUUCUCGUAGAGGAGCAAAAGACUUCGAACUAGAUGGUAAAAGAACCGGAGGCAACAAAUAAAAUCGAAGAUGGAGAGAAAGAAGCCGGGCGACAAUGUAGAGAGUCAACUGAAGAUCUAAAGCCGAGGAGAAAAGUGAUGGAGAGAAGCUAGGAAUCCAUUAGAAAAUAAUGGAUCUUCGAAUGUUAAUCUACCGAAAAUAGAGAAAAUACAGAUCUAGUAGGGGAAUAUGAGAACUUCGAAUGUUAAUUCACUAAUAAAUAGAGGAUCUAUAGAAAAACAAAGGAUCUGCGAAUCUACCAGAAAAUAAAGAAUCUUCAGAUGUUGAUUCAUCAGAAAACAGAGGUCAAUAAAUCGACAAUAGGGAUUUUCACAGCUUUUAGACAAGGCAAUGACGACCAUAGCAAAGACGAAAGAAAUAGCCACAACAGAUUAGGUGAUCGGAGGUUCUGAUACUAUAUUAAAAUAUUUGUAGAAGAAGAGAGAAAUAAAAAAAGAGAGAAAAAUAAUUUUAUUUCUCCAUUCCAUAUAUUCGAUACAUCUCGGGCUUAUAUAUACUUGUCUACAGACUCCAUGCAAAAAAAAUAAUAUACGCUGAUAUAAAAUCAUGCUAAUAAAAAAAAUAAUACUCGUUGAUACAAGUUGUACGUGAUUUCUAAAAUCACUCUAAUAAGAUCAUGCUAACAAAGAAAAAUGAUACUGGCCGAUACAAGAUCACACUAAUAAAAAAAUAAUACUGACCAAUACGAGAUCACGCUAGCAAUAAAAAAUAAUAUGGGCUAAUAUAGGUUGUUACGUGAUCUCUAAAAUUAUACUAAUAUUGCGUAACACUGUUUUAUAAUACAAUACUAUGCUAACCUAGUAUAUGAUCAAGAUUGAUUGCAACAAUAGUACCUUGAAUCUAAUUUUCCUAGGUUAACUUACAUAUUAAUUUAUUCUUGGCCUUGGCUAGGAUUGGAAUUGGGCUCAGGCCAGGCCGACUUUGGGUCGGGCUACGGGCUAGGCCCCGAAAGAUUUUGGACAGUAUUUGGGCUUAAAUAUAGAGCCCAUAUAUUUUUCAAGCGGGGCUUUGUUAUAUUAUUGGCCUACCUUGAGCUCGAGCCUAGACGAGGCUCAAAAUGGAGCCUGAACUCAAGCCCGAAAUGGAGCCCGAACUUAAGUACUUGUUUAUGAACUGUUUAGAAAAUAAGAAUGCCAUUUCCAAUUGUGUUAUCAAUUCAUUUUUCUGGUAAACAUGUCUCUGAUUAUUAGAUGGUGGCUAACAUAAAGCUACAAUAUUUCAUCAAACAAAAUGUGAAGCUACAUUAUGAAAGGUUUUGAAAAAUUAAACUCAAUUAGGUUUAGCCCGGCCCAGUUUUUAGUCAAAACAGAUAAUUCGAACCGGUCCAAUCGCGUUUAGAUCGAGUCCGGGCUUGGGCUUGGGUCAAGCUCGGGUCUGAAUUUUCCAAAAGCUUUUGAGCCUAAGCUCAGCCGAAAUCUCGACAAAAAUUCAGGCUAGAUUGGGGUAGGGGAGCUUCCCGACCUAUUUCUAGCCCUAGCCUUGACUAUAGUAGUCUGUGCUUGAAUCUUGUGUAGCCAUGGAUGAACUAGACUCUCUUGUGCCCUUCUAAAACGUCCCUGUUGCUAGAUACAUUGCUUAUCAGCCAUGUCAAAUCUCAGGAGAUCUAUAUUAGUUUUGAAGGGCACCUACUCUAUCAAGAGAAGCAGAGCCAUAGGGCUACAAUAUACAUUAUUAAUAACUUUUUCACCUUGCAUUUGUAUUUUCCUCCCCUCUCUCCCUCUCCGUUACCUUCCAUUAGCUCACGUUGACUCAAAAUAAAAUCUUAGCCUACACGACGAAAUUUCAACAGAUAAGCACCUUCUGUUACUUGAUGAUGAUGGCGAAGCCUUUAGAUUGGAUGCUUAAGGAAAUUGCAGGGGAACCUAACUAGAUGGCGCAGGUCUUGUUAGAGACAAAAUUAAAUUUUCCUUGUAAAUUCGUGGAAAUUGAGAGGCAUAAGCAAGGGCACCCAAACUAAGAGAGCAUGGUAGCCGCCCAAUUUUUUGCUUGAUCUCUCGCUGUACAUAGGCCGGAGGUCGUAGGCUUCAUGUCUCUAACAAAUGAGUUUCCUUUGACUCUGCUGGUAGUACUGAUGCUAUGCUGACGUGAGCUACCGUUGUACUAAAAAAAAGAGAACAAAUGAGUUUAUGUCGACAUGUUAACAAAUAAGCCAGAUGAUUUCGUGUUAUUUCGUAGAAUCUUCGGGGCAUAAAGCUCCAGCAUCCUUUCCCCUCCUCCAAUUUUUAGGUUUUAGAGUCCGGGAUCUGCAACUCAGAUCAGAAGAAGGUUUAUGUUUCAACUAGACUGCAUUUAGGACACGUGUUGAGGAACAUGUAUCGAAAUAAAGGUGUUAUUGUAAAAACCAGUCCUUAGAAUUUAAGAACCUAUUUGGAUAAUCCUGCUGAAUACGAGGCUUGAUCCAGCCCAUGUCAGCCGGACCUCUUCCAGCCAAUUUCCUCGCGAAGGGAUGAGAGAAAAAAAAGAAAUCUGCGAAGAAUUUUCCCCCUCUAUAACACUUCUGAAGCUAAUUCCUGUGAAUCCUAUAAAUAUAGGCUUGGCCCAACUUAUGCCUUCUACGUACGUUGCUGGAUUGCACAGGAUUAUCCAAACAGCAACCCAACCCACAACUAAUAUGCAAGAAAGUCUUGUGGGCCCAAUUUAAACUAGAUACAGCUUUGGGCCUAAAGUGGCUUGGGCCGGCCGUGGGUCCCAAGAUGCCGAUGACAUCGUGCCGGCGGAGUUGGCCAUGAUGGUUCACAGACUCCAUGGGCCUCCCUCACCACUGUGGAUCUUAGUUUAAUUUCAUUUCUGUGUUUCUGUUCGACAUUUUGCUUCCUGUUGAUUUUUUGCCUCUGUCCUUCCCCUCUGUUUGAUUUUGUUGCUGUGUAAGAUUUUACAUUUUAAAUAUAUUGUAUAUAAUAGAUGCGAACUAAAAUAUGUCUUCCAUCCCCACUAACUUCUAUAGGAGCUUUGUCUUCCAUCCUCACUAAUUUCUGUCGGGGCUUCAAGGAAGUUGUCCCCGGCCCAUAUUUGUUCCAACAUGUAUACUAUUUGAAUAAUUUUAGAAAUCAUGUAACAAUAUGUAUCAAUUUAUAUUAUUAUUUUUUUGUUAGCGUGAUCCUGUAUCAAUAACUAUUAUUUGUCUUUGUUAUCAUAAUCUUGAUAAUAACUUAUAUCGGCAAGAAAUUUACACGCACAUUAUCUACUAAAUGACCGCCUCAAGUUAGCGUUUCUUAGUUUAGAUAAUCUUGUAUCCAAUUACACCUUACCAGGGUUGGUUCACACGUUGCUUAAGUUGAGUGGAUGCCACGCGUUGUAUUUAUUUUGCAUCUCCUUCCACUCGAUCCCCCCGUC